ensembl:lincRNA
CUCUGCAGCUGCUGGGGGAGCUGAGCCUCUCGCAGCAAAACGACAUUUCCUUUUCGAGUAGCCCCGGGAAUUCUGGGUAGUGUAGUUCCGCUCUGUAUCGGGUUCAGGGGGCCUGCUGCUCCCCAUGCCCUUUGACCUCCACGGGCUCCCGGCUCUGUAAAAAGGGCCGCAGUGCCCCGGGGGGUGGGGGAGGACCUGGCUGCGGGGGUUUCUGGGAGGAUCCAGGGCUGGGAAGGUUAGGGUGAUGGGGAGAGAAAUUUGGGGGGACUUGGUCCUGGGGUUACCCAGCCGAGAAGCCUGUGCAAGUCAGCCACCAGGGAGGGAAGCCUGCUGUGAUGUCAGCUCGCAGAGGAGGAAUCCAGAGCUGGGUCACCGCAUCUGCCCACUGCACCACCCUGGCAGGUGUCCACGGAGACGGACCCCGGGGUCUGAGCACAGAAUCACAGGGGUUUGGGGAGGGCCAUGGUGCUUUCUAAACAGCCUCCUGCCAGCAGUGCCCCCAGGCCCAGGGAUCUGAGCCAUCAAAAGACAUGUCACACCCGUGUAAGUUUGGAGGUCCCGCACCUCCUGCCAUGGUGCUCACCUCUACAGAUGCCUGGCACAGGCCUGCGGGGGGCGGUUCCAGCCACUACAGGGUCCCUCCCAGGGCCACAGCCAGCCAGGCUGGAUGAUCAUGUAGUGGAAACACCAGCCCAGCCACAGCACGGGACGUGGCCAGCCCCGCCGUUGGCCUGUGUCCCUGUCUGGGGCCAUCCUUCUGUCAUCUGGUAAUAACUUUUUCCCAGUCCUCAGACACAGCCCAAGACUGUCAGGGUGGCAGAUGGCACAGGGUGGCCUUGGACUGUUCUCUGUCAGAGGUAGAACCCAGACCGCACCUGGGUCCCCAUGGAGACCUCCAUUACUGGGACGCAGCCUCCCCUGGCCCCUUUGCCCACAGUGACCUCUCCCCGACUUGAACUCAUGGCCCCACAAAACAUCCUGCCCCUCUGGGGCUCCCUGCAGCCAUGGAGUCGUGAUUACAUGCAAGGAAGAUAUCAACUUCCAGAGUGUGUACGUCACUUCCUGUCCCUCAUCCCCCCCAAGGGCCUAGAAAGGAGCAGACCCCCCUGGCCAGGUCAGACAGAGAAACCUGGGGUGGGAGGACAGCAACUUCUCAAGAGUCUGCAUCCCAGUCGGAUCCAUCCAGCCCCAAAGCCCACACUCAGCUCCCCCGGGGCUUGCUGCCUGACCCCCAGGACGUCCAUCCCAGAGGGGUCCACAGGACACCCGGGCUGGGCUGUCACUCGGAGGCCCUGGGGACACCGCCUGGCCUCGGCCACAGUGAGCAUCUCACCGUGGUCAGUCCAGGAGCGACGCCCCCAGCCUGGGUGUCUCGGGGCAGAAGUGCUCCGCCCUGCAGAACACGGCAGUCACAAAGUGACGGAGCCACACGGCCAGCAGCAGAGGAGGGGUCUGCCCUGCGGCCCUUCCCAGGACAAGGUGACAGGAAGUCACUGAAGAAUGAAGGUGUUGCCACGGGAACAGGCCCACGUUUAGUGUUAGGUAAAAUGUGUAAGUUAUAUUUUUUAAGGGAUGUAUAAUGUGAUCACAUUUUUGAA